rnacentral:lncRNA from 1 species
AAUCGAAAAGGUGCUUGCUUUCUCAAAAGCUGGGCUGCUCAGAGACCACGAGGGCCGAUCUUAGAAAUCGAAGAGGCACCUGCUUUUUUCAGCCUUGUCAGCACCUGUCACAUGCACACUCAGCUUUGCUGAAAUUACGGGCAUUCUGUUGAAGAUUUCUGGUGAAGUAGAAAGCAUGUGAAUCUUACUGUUCAAUCAUCCACUUUCCACACGCACCAUCAGCUCAUGGGUACUACAGAUAACUUUGCCAAAGAUCUCUGACAAAGUUUAGACACGUGAAGGUUGUAGCUCCCACUACAUCGCUAUGACUAAGAAGGGUAAAAGAAUAGCAACGAAACAGCACUAACAAAGUUUAGACACAUAAAUUUUGAAGGUCUAGCUACCAUAUUAUUACCCACAAGGGUAAAGGAACAGCACCACUGCUGGAUAAUUGGAAAGUCCUUGUGUGUCAACCUCUGUGCUCCGUGGCAAGGUAGACUAGCAAACAUGCCCAACCUUUACUCACAUUCGAGAAAACACUCCCAAUAAGAUUGCUUGCUCCAAAAUCGAAGAGGCACCGUCCUCCGAAUCUCGAGAGCCAGACUCCCAACAUGAUUACUUUCUCAAAAAUUGAAGAGACACCGCUCUCCGA